rnacentral:misc_RNA from 1 species
GUAGGCACCUGCUUCAUGUUCAAAGCAGCUGUGAGUAUUUAGGAUUUUCACUUUUACAAGCCCAUGUAGCUGGUUACAUUGGGAUAGAUGGCCUCCCAAAAGAUGAGGUACUUAAAAUACAUAAUACUAAAAGAAUGAAUCUAUUUCAUUGGGGUACAAACACUAAGGGGGAAAAACAUGUAUAUAUUUAAGCUUACAGCAACUCUUCUUCACUAACUGUAUAUGGCGGAGGUAACAAACUCUUCGCCUUAAUGAAUGUAUCUGUACUACCAGAGGGAACUUCUGUAAGGGGCGCAUCAAGGACUCUGUCUGGAAUUUCCCCUAACGUCUCCUCGAGAAUGGAUUUGAUUGUCGUGCAGCGCAGAAGAGCAGCAUCAACCUUGCGCUUCCACACAACAUUUCUAGGCUCUGCAUGAAAUAGACCAAGCAGAGGCUUCAUUACAUCCCGAAUAUGGGGCUUAAGUCCAUACAUUCUAACGACUGAGUCACCAUAGACCUGAUAUUGUUCAAGAACCUGGCGCCGAGUUAUACUACGUAGAGGUGCACCAUAUACAGCACUGUCAACAAGUCCUAGAAUCUGCCAUGGAUUGCUGUAAGCUGCACGUCCCAGCAUAACCCCAUGAGCUCCUUCCAAACGUGCUGCAUUAACCUCAUCAAUAGAAUUUAUGCCUCCAUUUAUUGUGAACUGUAGAUCAGGGAAAUCACGCAAAAGGGCAUAGUAGUACUCGUACUUGAGUGGGGGAAUUCUUCGAUUAUCUGCUGGGCUGAUUCCAUUCAGUAAUGCCUUCCGAGAAUGUAUAAUAAAAUGCCGAGUUGGUGAAUGAGAAGAAACCUCAUAAAUAAAAUCACAGAGUUCAUUGUAUGAAUCAUGGUCAUCAACUCCAAUUCUGCAUUUGACGCUCACAGGAACAUUUGUAUUUGCAGCAAUUACGGACAUGGCCUCAGCAACAAACUUCGGAUCAAGCAUGAGGCGCACACCGAAACACCCAUGUCCAGCUACUUUUGGACUCGGACAUCCACAAUUAAGAUUAAUUUCAUCAUAGCCAUAAGGAGUUGCCAGUUGGGUUGCUUUCGCCAAGUUCUCCAAUUUAUUUCCCCCGAUUUGAAGCACUAUAGGAUGUUGCUCAGGGCCAUAUGCCAAGAAUCUAUCCAAAUUGCCAGUCUGGUAGACAAUUGUUUCUGCAGCAAUCAUUUCUGUGUAGAGCCAUGCCUUUUUUGAGAUAAGGCGGGCCAAAGUUCUGUAAUGGUUAUCCGUCCAGUCCAUCAUGGGGGCAACACUGAACCAAGGAGGAGGAUGGCGUUCUGCAGCCAUUAGAGAAGCAGAGUGAAGCUUGGAGUUUUGAUGAUAAGCACACAAUGUCCUUUGUUUGCUUGAACUUCCAUAGAACAAGUUUGAUGAGAAUCUACCAAAACGGAUAACAGAAUGAAAAGGAGUUAUAGAAGCAAUCAAACAAUGUCCCGCAGAUUUCAUCUUCUUCCCUCCAAGCCCAGCGUAUGCUGCUCUCAUUAUCUACUUAUCCAUUGAAUA